AGGUAUGUGUAAACAGAUGUAAGAGCCAUAAGUACUCUUUUUCUUUUAUAAAGCAUUAAAGGAACUUCAGCUGAAAUUUAUGUCCAGUAUUGGAAAGUGCAUUCAAAAUUGAGAAUCAAAGAGAGUUCAGAUGAGUGCUACAGGAAACACCUACAAAGCAUGACCUGAAGGAAAGAGGAAAAGAACUGCAGUUGUCAUUUUUAAAGAAAUGAUCCUGACAAGUGAAAAGCUAAAAGACUUUAGGUCCAGGUGAUCACUGGAGAAUAGAUACUUCUACCUGUCUUCUCUCCAGCAGCAUAGCGGCCCAAAUGGAGAAGAUUCAUCCUGCCUUCCCUCCAACAUCCACAUUGUUUGAGCGAUACUGGAUGGAAUUCAGUACAGUCACUUUGGAUCUCAGACAUGAAAGAUCCCUGGGAUUCACUGGCAUAUGGAUGGAAAGCUAA
rnacentral:lncRNA from 1 species